rnacentral:tRNA from 1 species
GGCCGUCUGGCGAAAUGACAUCGCGUCUGACUACGAAUCAGGAGAUUGCAGGUUCGACCCCUGCGAUGGUCA